rnacentral:tRNA from 1 species
GCCGCCUUAGCUCAGCUGGUAGAGCAACGCUCUUGUAAAGCGUAGGUCGUCGGUUCGAUCCCGACAGGCGGCU